rnacentral:rRNA from 1 species
AGUGGCGGACGGGUGAGUAACACGUGGGAACGUACCUUUAGGUUCGGAAUAACGCAGAGAAAUUUGCGCUAAUACCGAAUGUGCCCUUCGGGGGAAAGAUUUAUCGCCUUUAGAGCGGCCCGCGUUAGAUUAGCUAGUUGGUGGGGUAAAGGCCCACCAAGGCUACGAUCUAUAGCUGGUCUGAGAGGAUGAUCAGCCACAUUGGGACUGAGACACGGCCCAAACUCCUACGGGAGGCAGCAGUGGGGAAUCUUGCGCAAUGGUCGAAAGACUGACGCAGCCAUGCCGCGUGAAUGAUGAAGGUCUUAGGAUUGUAAAAUUCUUUCAGCAGGGACGAUAAUGACGGUACCUGCAGAAGAAGCCCCGGCUAACUUCGUGCCAGCAGCCGCGGUAAUACGAAGGGGGCUAGCGUUGCUCGGAAUUACUGGGCGUAAAGGGAGCGUAGGCGGGUUAUCAAGUUGGAGGUGAAAGCCCAGGGCUCAACCUUGGAAUUGCCUUCAAAACUGAUAGCCUAGAGUAUGAUAGAGGUAAGUGGAACUCCGAGUGUAGAGGUGAAAUUCGUAGAUAUUCGGAAGAACACCAGUGGCGAAGGCGACUUACUGGAUCAUGACUGACGCUGAGGCUCGAAAGCGUGGGGAGCAAACAGGAUUAGAUACCCUGGUAGUCCACGCUGU